AACAAGGUUUUAUUUAAAACCAUGUUUUAAAUAAAACAAGGUUUCA
rfam:Poecilia formosa, whole genome shotgun sequence.